rnacentral:rRNA from 1 species
AUGCACCGCCAUUUUGGCCGGCUCCUCUCCAGCGGCGACGGGGCGGAUGUCACCUUCGAGGUCGGAGGCGAGACGUUUGCGGCGCACAGGUGUGUGCUUGCCGCCCGGUCCUCGGUGUUCAUGGCGGAGCUGUUUGGGCCGAUGAAGGAGAACACCGAUGCUUCUGUACGCAUCACUGACAUGGAGGCUAAAGUGUUCAAGGCCAUGCUCCACUUCAUCUACACAGACUCUCUGCCGCCCAUGGACGAUGAGCAGGAGCUGGUGGUCAUGGCCCAGCAUUUGCUUGUUGCGGCUGACACGUAUAACCUCGAGAGGCUCAAGUUGCUCUGCGUGGAGAAGCUCUGCAAUCACAUGGACGCAAGCACCGCUGCGACUACGCUGGCAUUGGCUGAGCAGCAUUCCUGUUGCGGGCUCAAGGACUUGUGCUUCAAGUUCCUUGCGUCACCUGGAAAUAUGCUCAAGGCCGUUGUGGCGAACGACGGCUUCGAGCAUGUGAGGAGCAGCUGCCCGUCUGUUCUCAAAGAGCUCGUUGCCAAACUUGCACCUUGA